rnacentral:rRNA from 1 species
AGUAGGGUGCCAUCGAGAGGUGUAUUUGGAAAUAUCCCUAAUACAGGAUCACUUGGA